AUACGGAGGAUCCGAGCGUUAUCCGGAUUUAUUGGGUUUAAAGGGUGCGUAGGUGGGCCUGUAAGUCAGUGGUGAAAGUUUGCAGCUUAACUGUAAAAUUGCCGUUGAAACUGCCGGUCUUGAGUGCAAAUGAGGUAAGCGGAAUGUGUUGUGUAGCGGUGAAAUGCUUAGAUAUGACACAGAACACCGAUUGCGAAGGCAGCUUACUGGGAUGCCACUGACACUGAGGCACGAAAGCGUGGGUAUCAAACGGGAUUAGAUACCCUGGUAGUCCACGCAGUAAACGAUGAAUACUAGUUGUCUGCGAUAUAUUGUAGGUGACACAGCGAAAGCGUUAAGUAUUCCACCUGGGGAGUACGUUCGCAAGAAUGAAACUCAAAUGAAUUGACGGGG
rnacentral:rRNA from 1 species